UCAAUUCAAUUUAUUUUGGUUUCUCUCUUUAUUUAAUUGAAAUAACUUUAAUUUAAAACUUAUUACCUCAGUAUCAAGGACAAGAAUUAGGUUGGCACCAAAUUAUGAGUUUAUAUGAAUGGGAUGUUGGUUUUUUAAGAGAUGCCCCAGGACUGCGUAUGGGACACAAACUUCGAGAUGAACAUAUAAACUUAACUCCUCAAUCAAGAAUGCGUGUAAACCUAACAGUGCAGGUACUAAGCUCAACUGUUGCACACAUGCUUGAAGAG